CCUGUGUGACUGCGUACCUUUUGUAUAAUGGGUCAGCGACUUAUAUUCUGUAGCAAGGUUAACCGUAUAGGGGAGCCGUAGGGAAACCGAGUCUUAACCGGGCGUUAAGUUGCAGGGUAUAGACCCGAAACCCGGUGAUCUAGCCAUGGGCAGGUUGAAGGUUGGGUAACACUAACUGGAGGACCGAACCGACUAAUGUUGAAAAAUUAGCGGAUGACCUGUGGCUGGGGGUGAAAGGCCAAUCAAACCGGGAGAUAGCUGGUUCUCCCCGAAAGCUAUUUAGGUAGCGCCUCGUGAAUUCAUCUCCGGGGGUAGAGCACUGUUUCGGCUAGGGGGCCAUCCCGGCUUACCAACCCGAUGCAAACUGCGAAUACCGGAGAAUGUUAUCACGGGAGACACACGGCGGGUGCUAACGUCCGUCGUGAAGAGGGAAACAACCCAGACCGCCAGCUAAGGUCCCAAAGUCAUGGUUAAGUGGGAAACGAUGUGGGAAGGCCCAGACAGCCAGGAUGUUGGCUUAGAAGCAGCCAUCAUUUAAAGAAAGCGUAAUAGCUCACUGGUCGAGUCGGCCUGCGCGGAAGAUGUAACGGGGCUAAACCAUGCACCGAAGCUGCGGCAGCGAACGUAUCACUUAAAGCGAUUCAGCG
rnacentral:rRNA from 1 species